UCAACACUACAACCCGACACGCGGCGCC
rnacentral:sRNA from 1 species